GGUCUGCUUCAGCCCAAGAGGAAUCAAAAGAUCAAAAGCAGUUUGGGAAGGCCAGAACCGUCAAGGGAUGGAGGGAGAAGGAAAAUCCAGGGGGUGGGGGGAAGGGGGCAGCCUGCAACCCCCAAGGGCAGGUGUGGGGCUGCCAGAUGCUCCAGGCAGGGGGCCAGAAGGGGCUCACAAAGGCUUGCCCUCCAGGGAGAUGACGGCACUGCCCCCCAGCUUCUCUGCCAGGGUGCAGCGGUCCUUGACCUCCUCGUAGCAGUUUGCUUGCAAUUCAUGCUUGA
rnacentral:lncRNA from 1 species